rnacentral:rRNA from 1 species
UACAGAGGUCUCAAGCGUUGUUCGGAAUUACUGGGCGUAAAGCGAGUGUAGGUGGUUGUCCAAGUUGGAUGUGAAAGCCUUGAGCUCAACUCAAGAAAUGCAUUCAGGACUGGGCGGCUAGAGGACCGGAGAGGAUAGUGGAAUUCCCAGUGUAGUGGUGAAAUACGUAGAGAUUGGGAAGAACACCAGUGGCGAAGGCGGCUAUCUGGACGGUUUCUGACACUAAGACUCGAAAGCGUGGGGAGCAAACAGG